rnacentral:rRNA from 1 species
AGGACGAACGCUGGCGGCGUGCUUAACACAUGCAAGUCGAGCGGAAAGGCCCUUCGGGGUACUCGAGCGGCGAACGGGUGAGUAACACGUGAGUAACCUGCCCCUAGCUCUGGGAUAGCUCCGGGAAACCGGGAUUAAUACCAGAUACGACCACUUUAGACAUCUGUCGUGGUGGAAAGGAUUUCGGCUAGGGAUGGGCUCGCGGCCUAUCAGCUUGUUGGUGGGGUAACGGCCUACCAAGGCGACGACGGGUAGCCGGCCUGAGAGGGCGACCGGCCACACUGGGACUGAGACACGGCCCAGACUCCUACGGGAGGCAGCAGUGGGGAAUAUUGCGCAAUGGGCGAAAGCCUGACGCAGCGACGCCGCGUGGGGAUGAAGGCCUUCGGGUUGUAAACCCCUUUCAGCAGGGACGAAGCGAAAGUGACGGUACCUGCAGAAGAAGCGCCGGCUAACUACGUGCCAGCAGCCGC